UUUAACAUUUAAAGCAAUACAAAAAAACACGAUGAAUAAAAAUAUUUAUAAAAAGUACAAACGGAGUGGUACAUUUUACAGAAACGUUAAAAAUAAACGUGACGAGUAUAAAAAAUUUCUGGAAACAGCAUUGAGAGGAGAAAACACCAAUAGAAAAUAUACACCGGAAAAAAAACCAAAACAACCCGAAGUGGAAUCUUCACCGAGCUCGUCGGGGCACGAAAUAGCUUCAAAAUCAAGCGAAAGUUCAACAAGCCUAGCCGAGGAGCUGUUUGAGCCAGAAACAUCUAUAAACUCCGAUGUUAUUGGAUCGUUCGAAACAAAUAAGUUAGAAAACUCGAAAAGCUUCAAUUCGAAUUCAAUUUCUGAUCGAUUACGUUCUUAGGCAAUCGAUUUCAACAUUACACAUCGUGCAUUGAGAGAGCUUCUAAAGAUAAUUCGACAAGAAUAUGGUGAUGUUAAUAUUCCACUAGACCCACGUACUUUUUUGGAAACGCCUCAGCAGAUAGGAAGGUGUAACGAACUUCAAUGGAAUUAAUGGAUGCCAUAAAUGCACGAUUGAAGGAGAGUAUUCAUAUAUUUCCCGAACCGUAAUUUUUCCAAGUCUGAACUGUACUCUGCGAACUGAUAAGAAAUUCCGUAUGAAGGAAUACGGCAGGCAUCACAAGGAAGAUACACCACUAUUAAGAAUACCUGGCUUAAAUAUGAUAAAAGACUUUAUUGUAGCGGAUUCUCUUCAUCUGUUGGAGCUAGGUAUAAUGAAGCGAUGCCUCAUAGGAUGGCGAGAUGGUACACUAGGAUUCGCAGGAAAACUAUGUUCUGGUGACAUAGAAAACCUCGACAAAAUGAUUUUAGAAACCCGAUUACCUUCGGAAAUACAUCGUUCCAUGCGGGGAAUGGACUGAUUGGCGUUUUGGAAAGGCGUAGAAUGGAGAUCAUUUCUGAACUAUGUUGGUGUUGUUGUUUUAAAAGAUAUUCUGAGUAGCCAUGUGUACGAACACUUUUUGCUCCUUUUUGUAGCUGUUACAAUUUGUUCAUGUAGCAUCUAUAAAGAUUACCGACCGAUAGCGCAACAAACUUUCGAACGCUACAUCAUUGAAUUCAAAAAUAUAUAUGGAGAAGAAUACCUAACCAGUAAUGUCCAUAACUUAGAACACAUAGUUGAAGAUGUGAAUAGGUUUGGACCACUGCCCUCAAUAUCAUCCUAUCCGUUUGAAAAUGCGCUAUAUCAGAUCAAAAAGUUGUUACGGCAUGGACAAAACAAUUUGGAGCAGGUGGCCAACAGACUUUCUGAACAAAGAGCGGCAAUACGUACUAAAACUCAGAAUAACUACGUCUUUCCUAGAAUUAAAAAAAAAAGGUGAAGUUGUGUCUUGUCGCCUUAGUGAAGACUUUAUUUUAGACAACAAAUUAAAAAACUCUUGGUUUUUGACAAAACGCUUUGAUAUAGUUCAUAUGACGUCAGCAGUAAUAAAUGAAAAUAGUGAAAUAAUUAUAAAAGGCGAGAAAGUAUCCAGAAUACAUCUUUUUUUUUUAAGCCUAUACGCUCUACGUAUUUGCAUGUUUAUAUCGCUAACAUUGUUCAUUUAGAGAACGAGAAAUCAUACAGUAUCAGUGAUAUUUUUUGUAAAUUAGUGGCAGUUAAGUAUAAGUGUAA